GUGCUUAAUUCAGCAGCACAUAUACUAAACUUGGAACAUUACAGAAAAGAUAAGCAUGGCCCCUACGUAAGGAUGACAUGCAAAUCUGUGAAUCAUGCCAUAUUAAA